rnacentral:rRNA from 1 species
CCCUUAGAUGUUCUGGGCUGCACGCGCGCUACACUGAUGCGUUCAACGAGUUUAUGACCUUGCCCGAUAGGGUUGGGUAAUCUUUUUAAAUCGCAUCGUGAUGGGGAUAGAUUAUUGCAAUUAUUAAUCUUCAACGAGGAAUUCCUAGUAAGCGCAAGUCAUCAACUUGCAUUGAUUACGUCCCUGCCCUUUGUACACACCGCCCGUCGCACCUACCGAUUGAAUGGUCCGGUGAAGCCUCCGGAUUGGCGCGCACCUCGGUGCCGCCGAGAAGUUGGCUAAACCUUACCAUUUAGAGGAAGGUGAAGUCGUAACA